GAGGGUAUAGCUCAAGUGGUGGAGGGGAUGCUUAGCAUUUACAAGGUCCUGGGUUCAAUCCCCAGUACCUCCA
rnacentral:tRNA from 1 species